rnacentral:rRNA from 2 species
CGGUCCUAAGGUAGCGAAAUUCCUUGUCGGGUAAGUUCCGACCUGCACGAAUGGCAUAACGAUGGCCACACUGUCUCCUCCCGAGACUCAGUGAAGUUGAAAUGUUUGUGAUGAUGCAAUCUACCCGCGGCUAGACGGAAAGACCCCAUGAACCUUUACUGCAGCUUUGCAUUGAACUGUGAACCGAUUUGUGUAGGAUAGGUGGGAGGCAGAGAAGAGGCCACGCCAGUGGCCUUGGAGCCGACCUUGAAAUACCACCCUGAUUUGUUUGCGGUUCUAACCACGGACAGUGAUCCUGUCUUGGGACCGUGCAUGGUAGGCAGUUUGACUGGGGCGGUCUCCUCCUAAAGGGUAACGGAGGAGUACGAAGGUACGCUAGGUACGGUCGGAAAUCGUGCUGAUAGUGCAAUGGCAAAAGCGUGCUUGACUGCGAGAGCAACAACUCGAGCAGAUGCGAAAGCAGGUCAUAGUGAUCCGGUGGCUCUGAAUGGAAGGGCCAUCGCUCAACGGAUAAAAGGUACUCUGGGGAUAACAGGCUGAUACCGCCCAAGAGUUCAUAUCGACGGCGGUGUUUGGCACCUCGAUGUCGGCUCAUCUCAUCCUGGGGCUGUAGUCGGUCCCAAGGGUAUGGCUGUUCGCCAUUUAAAGAGGUACGUGAGCUGGGUUUAAAACGUCGUGAGACAGUUUGGUCCCUAUCUGCCGUGGGCGUUGGAAGAUUGACGGGGGCUGCUCCUAGUACGAGAGGACCGGAGUGGACGCACCUCUGGUGUACCGGUUGUCACGCCAGUGGCAUUGCCGGGUAGCUAAGUGCGGAAGAGAUAACCGCUGAAAGCAUCUAAGCGGGAAACUUGCCUGAAGAUGAGUCUUCCCGGAGGUUGAACCUCCCUCAAGAGUCGUCCGAGACCAGGACGUCGAUAGGUCAGGUGUGUAAGCGCUGUAAGGCGUUGAGCUAACUGAUACUAAUUGCUCGUGAGGCUUGAUCCU